rnacentral:rRNA from 1 species
UGAGCAACCUGCCCUUAGCUCUGGGAUAACCCCGGGAAACCGGGGCUAAUACCGGAUACGAGUCCGAGCGGCAUCACACGGACUGGAAAGUUUUUCGGCUAAGGAUGGGCUCGCGGCCUAUCAGCUUGUUGGUGGGGUUAAUGGCCCACCAAGGCGACGACGGGUAGCCGGCCUGAGAGGGCGACCGGCCACACUGGGACUGAGACACGGCCCAGACUCCUACGGGAGGCA